rnacentral:rRNA from 1 species
AAGAGACAGCAGUCGCCACGGUAAUACGUAGGGCGCAAGCGUUAUCCGGAAUUAUUGGGCGUAAAGAGCUCGUAGGCGGUUUGUCGCGUCUGCCGUGAAAGUCCGGGGCUCAACCCCGGAUCUGCGGUGGGUACGGGCGGACUAGAGUGAUGUAGGGGAGACUGGAAUUCCUGGUGUAGCGGUGAAAUGCGCAGAUAUUAGGAGGAACACCGAUGGCGAAGGCAGGUCUCUGGGCAUUAACUGACGCUGAGGAGCGAAAGCAUGGGGAGCGAACAGGAUUAGAUACCCGCGUAGUCCCUGUCUCUUAUAC